UACGAAGGGUGCAAGCGUUAAUCGGAAUUACUGGGCGUAAAGCGUGCGUAGGCGGUUGGCUAAGUCAGAUGUGAAAGCCCUGGGCUCAACCUGGGAAUGGCAUUUGAAACUGGCCGGCUAGAGUGUGAUAGAGGAUGGCGGAAUUCCCGGUGUAGCGGUGAAAUGCGUAGAGAUCGGGAGGAACAUCCGUGGCGAAGGCGGCCAUCUGGAUCAACACUGACGCUGAGGCACGAAAGCGUGGGGAGCAAACGGG
rnacentral:rRNA from 1 species